UACGUAGGGUGCAAGCGUUGUCCGGAAUUAUUGGGCGUAAAGAGCUCGUAGGCGGUUUGUCGCGUCGGCUGUGAAAACCCGGGGCUCAACCCCGGGCCUGCAGUCGAUACGGGCAAACUAGAGUGUGGUAGGGGAGACUGGAAUUCCUGGUGUAGCGGUGAAAUGCGCAGAUAUCAGGAGGAACACCGGGGGCGAAGGCGGGUCUCUGGGCAAUAACGGACGCUGAGGAGCGAAAGCGGGGGGAGCGAACAGG
rnacentral:rRNA from 1 species